rnacentral:rRNA from 11 species
GUGUAACAACUCACCUGCCGAAUGCAUCAGCCCUGAAAAUGGAUGGCGCUUAAGCGCGUGGCCGAUACACUGCCAUCGAGACGAAGCCUAGGUUUCGAUGAGUAGGAGGGCGUCGUGCUCGUGUAGAAGCUUUGGACGUAAGUCUGAGUGGAACGGGCUCGAGUGCAGAUCUUGGUGGAAGUAGCAUAAAUUCAAGCGAGAGCCUUGAGGACUGGAGUGGAGAAGGGUUCCAUGCGAACAGCGAUUGAACAUGGGUGAGUCGAUCCUAAGAGAUUGGGUAAUUCCGUGAGAGAAGUGUUCUGAACACAAUCCAUCGAAAGGGAAACGGGUUAAAAUUCCCGUACCAAGAAGCGGGGUGUGCGCGGUAACGCAAAUGAACUCGGGGACAUCGGCAGGAAACCUGGAGAGAGUUCUCUUU